rnacentral:tRNA from 2 species
GGGGGGUUAGCUCAGUUGGUUAGAGCAGAGCGCUCAUAACGCUUUGGUCACAGGUUCGAGUCCUGUACCCCCUACCA